AAUGGGUGGUGAUGAAGAUGCUGAGUAUCUAGAAAAUAUGGACACUUGAAGAGUUUGUGUGGAAAGAGACCAUGGGGGAGACAGUUCUCUGAGCCAGAGGUUUCCUAGUGGAAUCCCCAUGAGUGGAGGGCCUCAGAGAGGCCCUUACCACAUGGUAUGCACAGCCAUGGAUGCCUGGUGACGGAACAAACUGAAAUCUCCACUUAUGCCUACCUCAGCCAGUGCCAAGUGUCACCAGAGUAACGGGGACUUUAGAUUUCCUUUCCGGUUGGCUCCAGUUCCUCAAGCCCUCAGCCUUACCUGGACUAAGAAGAUCCCGCUGGCAGGAUGUCACCUCAAAGAGCUCAGGCUCCAGAGGACCCAGACACAGCCAGGCCAAGGAACAGGUUUUGUUUCUCCUUUGUGGAGGCACAGAGCCUUUGUUCAAAGAUGAGCAUCACUUCAAAUAUUCCAGGAAUGCAGCUGUUGGGCUUAGUUCUAUGUUCCAACAUUUUUUUUUCCCCUAAAAAAGCAUGGAGCGGGUGGUAUUGCUCCAGAGCUCUAUGUGAAGUGUUCUUUUAAGUCUCGGACCGUACUUCCUGCUUUUCACUGUGCCUCAAGCCAGAACGGAAAGAAGAAAGCCCCUAAACCCUCUACACGUCAGUACAAAUUCCUCUCCCGCAGAGCAGAUGAUCUAUAUCCUGAGAGGCUCCAGACUAGACUCUGAAUAAUACAGAUCAGUUCUACAGGAUUUGGGGGGAUGAUUUGAGAAGUCAAGUCCCAGUUCCAAAUGCCUUUUCUGACUUCUGCCAAAGGGAUGAUUCCAUUUUGUGUAAAAUAAUUAGAGUGAUUAUUGGUGGGAUAGGAUACAAGUGGCGUUUAGUUCCAUUCAAUGAUCUUUUACAGAGCGCUCCCUUUGGACUAAGCAUGAUGGUGAUCUGAGGUAGGAAAGGGAAGACAUGCAAAGAUAAUUUAGAUGCAGGCUCUGCCUUUAGGAGGUGAAAAACUAUGAUAUAAGGCAGGAGAAGCAUGCGAAGGUAUGCUAGCAGUAAAAAGAAAGUCAACCUCACUUUUAUCACAGGCACCUCCUUAAUGAAGAAGGCAUGCAGCUGGGGAAGGGAAAUGGCUCUGAGAAUCAUCUUGGCCACAUUGUCAUGGUCUGUUACACAGCUGCUCGUUUGGAGGAAGUGGCCUUGUUCCCUAGAGUGGAGCUGUCACAAAACAGAGUGGGAACUGUCUGGCCUUCAGCCCACGAGAAUCCGCGUGGCUAGUUGCAUUAACAACCAGGCAUUUCCGGCAGUUCCCAACAUUUCUGGGAAUUUUCUCAUCCAAAGUUCUGAAAGGCAGGCCCAUUCUCCUGCUUCUUACUCAUGCUUUCUUUGUAAUACAGCAAUUAUGUUUUUAAAAAAAAAAAAAACAACAACCCAACAAUCCCGGGCUAUGUUGUUUCACAGAAAAAUUCAGAACUUAUUAGUCAAAUAUGGAAGCAAGGAUGUAUAAGGAAAUAUUCAAAGCACGUUUUUGAGUCACUCAUAAUUGAUCUUCCUAUAAUACAUACCUAUGUUCUCAUCUCAAUGUA